UUCCCAAUGCUUUGUCUGUACGACCAAAGUAUAUUCUAUUAAGCCAUAGGACUUUACUAGGAACCCUAGCUUUGACUUGAGUCUCUUCAUGUAGCUCUAUAAAAUCCCACUUUGAGCUUUUCAUGCUUCUUCUCUCUUUUUUUUUUAGAUCACCCAAAAAGAAAGAAACUUAAGCACAAAGAAUAUGAAAAAGAUGGUUACUUUGAGGUUAACAAGCUUAAUUUUAGCUGUUUUGCUUGUUUUGCAUGCACUUAAACACUCCUUAGCUCAGGCUCAUCAAGCUAAUAAGGUAGCAAAUGCCAUAUCAAGACAAAAUCAUGUAUUUUCAAGAAAGGAACUUGUUGAUGGCAAUAAUUAUCUUGCAAAUACAAAGAAGACAACACCAAUGGGAGGAAGAAAAAUGAUGGUUACUCAUAAGGUUAUUGAAGCUAAGGAUGAUCAUAGGGUGACAAAAAAUCCAACUUCAGUGUUCUCAGGUGCUCCUAAAGUUAAUGAUUCGAGUGGUUUUGAAGUAAAAGGAGAUGUUGAUAUGCAUUGUAAAGAUAAUGAUCAUACUACAAGUGGUUAUAGCUCUGUGAAGUUGAAUAAUGAAGCUUUUAGUACUACUGAUUAUCACGGUCCACGCUCACACCCUUCUAAGCAUCACUAAGUUUCAUGAAUCCUUUUGAGUUGUAUAGUGGUUGAUUCAUCUAGGAAAUGAUGAAACGAGAAAUGCUUUGGAGACUCUUCUAUGAGAUCACAUGAUGAAUCACACAAUCAGGUGGAGGAUAAAGUGUUUGGCAACUCAAAGCCAACAUCAAACAAUUCCAAAAAGGCAACAAUCACUCAAGAUUAUAAGUCAAGAACUAGAAAAGAUGAUGAAUCAAAGAGAUAUUUUAAGGCAGCAAAAGAGAUGAUGAAGUUGAUGCAUAGAGAUUAUGGAAGAUGGCAAAAACCUAAAAGAAGGCCACCCAUCAACAACCAUAAUCCCAAACACUAAGACAACCAACCUCUCAUUCUCAAGUUAACCCCAGUUAGGUUUUUAGGCUCACAAUUUUGUACCACCUUAUAGUAAGUGAACCCUCAAUUCUCACUGGGUAUAUAGUCCUAUCUUUGGCUUAUUUUUAUUUGGCCUACCUCAACUUUCUAGUUUGGGUUUUUAGAUUAAUGUUUUAGUCUAUAAAAGAGGAAAAUAGCACAAGUCAGCCUUAGAUGACACAUAGUAGCACAGUUUUUGAUAGAUUUCUGUAUAAUAUAGUAUAUUAGUAUGGUUUAAGCCUUUACAUAUGUUAUAAUCUUUGUAUCAAGUUUAGUUGAAUAAAUAAUACUAGUAUUUAUUUCA